UACGUAGGGUGCGAGCGUUGUCCGGAAUUAUUGGGCGUAAAGAGCUUGUAGGCGGUUUGUCGCGUCUGCUGUGAAAUCCCGAGGCUCAACCUCGGAACUGCAGUCGAUACUGCUGUGGCUAGAGUCUGGUAGAGGAGAGUGGAAUUCCCGGUGUAGCGGUGGAAUGCGCAGAGAUCAGGAGGAAUACCGAAGGCGAAGGCAGUCUUCCAAGCCGUUAUUGACGCUCAACUGCGAAGGUGUGGGUAUCAAACAGGAUUA
rnacentral:rRNA from 1 species